GGUGCGUUUCAUAAAGAAUCUUAAGUCUGUUUUUACUCCUAAGUGCAAAACUAGGUGAAAAGUUCGUUUCAAGAAAAAUCUUAAUGCGCACUAUGUGUGAAAUUAAGACUAAAAUUAGGACUAUUCCUAGGGGUGCCUCAGGGCACCCCUAACUUUUAUCUUUUGUCUUAAGACAAAAACUACGUGCAAAAAUAAAAUGGCGGCGCCCAUGUAUCUUGCGCUUUUCAGUGAUUUUCCGCUAUUAAAUUACGAAAAACUUUGCGCAACUGAUACGUGAUUUUGUAAUACACCUUCCAAUACUGUGAAUUUAUUGGUGACGCAAUAUAAGCUACAUCGUCCAAUCAUAGACUGUUUUACAAUGCGUCGGAGAUAGUGUUGUUUCUCGACAGCGUCAAAAAAAAUGUAUCUAUUCAGUUUCAACGCUGGACAUUUAACAAAUUACAUCUUGAGAUAAAGAAGGCAGGGCAAGAAAUGGCUGUCCACACUCUGGAAAAGAAAUGAGCAUGCAUCGAUGGAACAUUAUUUACUAUGAUUUAGUUCCCAGAUAAAGAUUAGGCAGGGCAAGAAAUGGCUGCCCACACUCUGAACAUCAUUUAGUUCCC
rnacentral:lncRNA from 1 species